rnacentral:tRNA from 1 species
GUGGGGAUAGCUCAGUGGUAGAGCACAUGCCUAGCAUGCACGAGGUCCUGGGUUCAAUCCCCAGUACCUCUA